UAAGAACAACUACUAGGCUGGUUUUUAUUGAACAUGGUUAGGAAAUCUCUCCAACAAAUGAUUCCUGAGACCCACCCCAAUUCCAAUGCUAUCAUUUUGUGAGUUUUAUUAUUCAUCUGAAUUCUUACAACUGGUCUUUGGUAACCAGAAGAAACCUGCAAGGUGAUGCUCAUUUGGACCCAAGCAGUGGUGAAAUUGCUGACUGAAUCAAAUAGUGUAAAUAGAUCCACAGAAGAAGAAGUAUAAUGAACCUGAAAUUGCUAAACCCCUUUUAAGGAAAAUUUUCCUAGCAUAAUAUAUGAAGAUGAUGUCUCUCUUUGUUGCCCAGGCUGGAGUGCAGUGGUGCGAUCUUGACUCACUGAAACCUCUACCUCCUGGGUUCAAGUGCUUCUCCUGCCUCAGCCUCCUGAGUAGCUGGGACUACAGGCACCCGCCACCACGCCCAGCUAAUUUUUGUGUUUUUAGUAGAGAUGGGGUUUCACCAUAUUGGCCAAGCUGGUCUUGAAGUCCUGACCUCAAGUGAUCUGCCCCCCUCAGCUUCUCAAAGUGCUGGGAUUACAGGCGUGAGCCACUCCACUGAGCCCGGCCUUUUAAUCUU
rnacentral:lncRNA from 1 species